rnacentral:misc_RNA from 1 species
GGGGGGAUGAGGCUUAUCGGCU